rnacentral:rRNA from 1 species
UUGUUUUUACACUGAAACUCUGAGGAAAAAAAACAAAAUGAAUCAAAACUUUCAACAACGGAUCUCUUGGUUCUGGCAUCGAUGAAGAACGCAGCGAAAUGCGAUAAGUAAUGUGAAUUGCAGAAUUCAGUGAAUCAUCGAAUCUUUGAACGCACAUUGCGCCCUCCGGUAUUCCGGAGGGCAUGCCUGUUCGAGCGUCAUUUCAACCCUCAAGCACUGCUUGGUGUUGGGGCACUGCCUUUUUCCGGAAGGCAGGCCCUGAAAUUCAGUGGCGAGCUCGCCAGGACCCCGAGCGCAGUAGUUAAACCCUCGCUUUGGAAGGCCCUGGCGGUGCCCUGCCGUUAAACCCCCAACUCUUGAAAAUUUGACCUCGGAUCAGGUAGGAAUACCCGCUGAACUUAAGCAUAUCAAUAAGCGGAGGAAU